CCCUGGUAAGCUCAGUUGGUAGAGCGCUCUGCUGGAAAUUGAGAGGUCCCGGGUUCGAUACCCGGACCAAGUG
rfam:Ixodes scapularis strain Wikel colony gcontig_1107728824356, whole genome shotgun sequence.